CGGGAACAGCUCAAAUUUUAAAUCUCCUUCGGGCGAAUUGUAGUUUAGAGAAGCGUUUUCUAUGGCAGCUCGGGCAUAGGUCCUUUGGAAAGAGGCAUCAUAGAGGGUGAGAAUCCCGUCUGUGGUCCGAAGUCUGCUGUUCUGUGAUA
rnacentral:rRNA from 1 species